rnacentral:rRNA from 1 species
AUGGAGAACACCAACUUAAAUCUGUGCACUUCCAAGCUCCCUCUCAACAUUGUUGUCCCGUACAACCCAAACAGAAAGAUAGGCAAGAAAUUUGUGAUUGAGAUCGCUGACAGCAUGCCCCGACCUACUAACAAGCCUGAUGAUCCUGCCGCAUAUGAGGGAGACAUGUUUGUUGAUCUGUCACCUCUAGACUCCGCCAAUCAAUUUGUCCACAAUCCGGCUGGUAGACAGGAGACUCACCCCAUGGCUUUCACCCCACCGAGCUUUAGUCUUGGAAUCGACAACACUGAGGAUGUACUAGUGCAUGAUCCUAUGCCUGUUGCCUUUUCUUUCCCGGCAGGCCCGGUCCCAAUGAUGGCGCAGCCACUGACUAAUGGCAGGAAGGCUGUCAAGUUUGCAGAUCCCAUAGUGCAAGCCACCCCUGAGGAGAUUUCGCCGUCCCUUGAAGAAGCUUACCGUAGGGUUGAGCAGGAUGCAUUGAACGCAGGUCUUCACGGAAUCGGGGCCAAUCAAGUUCUGACGUGCCUGCCGAGGUAG